AACACUUGAAAAAUUUCACCAUUUGUGCAUUUUGUGUGAUCUGUGAAAAAGUGAGAAAAAUCCAGGAAAAAACAGUUCAAAGAACUCUAAAAACAGUUGUAAACCAAUGCAAAAGUGUUCUGUGUGUCUGAAGUAAGUAAGUCGACCCGAAAACAGCCAGGUUGAACACAUUAAAUUGCCUUUCUUUUUCCACUUCGCAACUGCGAUACUGCGUGAAAAUUUGGUAAUAAAAAAAAAUGGAGCGUCGUCGUGGAACAAAGUAUGCCACAAUUUGCUUGGAUAAUUCAUCCAGCAAUGAUAGCACUUACGAUUCCCAGCAAGAAACAGAAUCCAAUUGUGGAGACAGCGAUGAGGAGUACGCUCCGAGUGUGAGGGGGCGUAAGGUGUCGGGUAAACGUUUAGCCACAUCGUCGGGGAAAGAAAAUGGCGUUCAGAGGGGUGUUCGGAGGGAAUCUGUGGGCAAGGUUAAUCGUUUGCCGACGCGACGACCGGAUCCAAAUGUGUUUAAUAGGAAUGCAUUGAUGGCACGGGAGAAUAGGAGGAAGAAGAAGGAGUUGAUGGAGCAAUUGGAGCGGGAAGUGAUGGAAUUGAGGGAAAAAUCGAAGAAAUUGCACAAGAGUCUGUUCAAGCAGAGUGUGACAAUUAAGAAUCUGCGGCAGGAGAAUAAGUAUCUACAGAGUGUUAUUGGGAAUCAGACCGAAAUUGUUAAGCUACUGAAGACACUCAAUUCCACACGAUUGCCCAUCUCUUCGUCCCUGGAGAAGCAGCAGGAGAUUGAAUGUGUUCCCAGGAGGGGUUUUCCAUCGCCGGACAGCAGUACGCCAGUGAUUGAAAGUGUUUUCAAGGAGGAACUUGAGGAUGAUAGCGGUGAUGAUUGCCUCAAUAUGCAACUGUCACCCUGCAGUAACCUUGAGGAGUGGGAUGAGAUGUAUCCAUUGGGCUUCGACAAGAUCUCAGAUCUGCAGCCGGAAUUAUCAGACAGCGCAAACAGAGUCAGUAUCAAUUCAGAACAUAAUUACUUCAAUCAGCAAGUUGAUCACAAAAAUGCUGGUGUAGACUUAGGACCAGCUGGAGUGUGUCUGCAUGUGGCCAGCGGGAAGGUCUCCCUGGAAUUCUGUGCAUCCUGCCAUCUCAAUGCUGCAAGCACUUGGAUGCUGGAGGACUAAGCAUUCACAUCAAUUGUAACCAAUGACGUCUUAAUGGAUUGCUGCUGCAUUGGCAGAAGCCCCACACAAAAUGAGGCAUUUAUGAACCGCGAAUAAUUGCUGAGCAAAAAGUGCACUCAUUGAGCAGCCGACGUACGAGUUGAUGGCAACUCCACAACUCUUGUACAGUCGCAAGGGACGAAAGAGAGAGAGAGGAAGAGAAGAGACUUCUUCAGUGGUUGUGUUGUGUGUAAAAAAAAUGUAUCGUUCCGAAAGGGUGCAAAAGAAAAUCAGUUUUUUUGAGGCAAAUUGUGCAGUUUUAUGUACAAUUUGUCAAAUAUGUGAACAUGCUAUUCUCAUCUUUUUCACAUAGUUCUUUCAGCACAGGCAAUAAAAGACCCCCAAAUGUGGAUGAGUCUCUCGAGAGCAUGGGCGAAAGGUGUUCUUUUGCUUUGGAAGUCACACAAAAAUCAAAGCAUCUAAAGAAAAAAAAAUCAAAUGGUAGGUGUUUGCAUUUCCAUCAUUUUAAAUUCUAUUGACCAAAUGACUCCAAUUUUUUUUUUUAAUAAUUACUUUCUUAUUGGAAAAAACCAUGGAAAGAAUUUGUCGAUUUUUAGGGGUUUUUUGUGACAAAGAAUUGUCACAAUUUAGUGUUAUGGAUUACAAAAAAAUAAAAUAUUUUGUAAUAUUUAAGGAUUAAUAAAUUAUUCACAACAAAA